rnacentral:snRNA from 1 species
ACAGGGUGAUCUGGCUGCGACAUCUGUCACCCCAUUGAUCACCAGGGUUGAUUUGGCUGAUCUGACUGGCUAGGCAGGUGUCCCCUUUCUCCCUCACUGCUCCAUGUGCGUCCCUCCUGCAGCUGCAAAUAGAGGAGGACCGGUCUUUGGUCAAGGGUAUACGAGUAGCUGUGCUCCCCUGCUAGAACCUCCAAACAAGCUCUAAAUGUCAUUCUUAACUCAUUUGUCUUUGUCAACACCUCUAACUUAGUCAAUAGGUGCUGUCACUGUUU